rnacentral:rRNA from 1 species
ACUCAAAUGAAUUGACGGGGGCCCGCACAAGCGGAGGAGCAUGUGGUUUAAUUCGAUGAUACGCGAGGAACCUUACCUAGACUUGAACGUAUUUGGAAUAAUGUGGAAACAUGUUAGUCAGCAAUGACCAUUUACGAGGUGCUGCAUGGUUGUCGUCAGCUCGUGCCGUGAGGUGUUAGGUUAAGUCCUGCAACGAGCGCAACCCUUACCGUUAGUUACCAGCAUGUUAAGAUGGGGACUCUAGCGGAACUGCCGGCGCAAGCCGUGAGGAAGGUGGGGAUGACGUCAAAUCAGCACGGCCCUUACGUCUAGGGCGACACACGUGCUACAAUGGGCGGUACAGAGGGCAGCUACUCCGCGAGGAGAUGCUAAUCUCAAAAGCCGUUCUCAGUUCGGAUCGGAGUCUGCAACUCGACUCUGUGAAGUUGGAUUCGCUAGUAAUCGCACAUCAGCCAUGGUGCGGUGAAUACGUUCCCGGGCCUUGUACACACCGCCCGU